UCGCGCUCGGAGCCCCUUAGCUCAGGCGGCCGAGGCGGAGGCAGCGGCGGCGGGAUGGCGGAUGCCAAUAAGGCCGAGGUGCCCGGGGCCACUGGUGGCGACAGCCCGCACCUGCAGCCCGCGGAGCCGCCGGGCGAGCCGCGGCGAGAGCCGCACCCCCCGGAGGCGGAGAAGCAGCAGCCGCAGCACAGCAGCAGCUCCAAUGGCGUUAAAAUGGAGAAUGAUGAAUCAGCAAAAGAAGAGAAAUCUGACCUAAAGGAAAAAUCUACAGGAAGUAAGAAAGCCAAUAGAUUUCAUCCUUAUUCAAAAGACAAGAAUUCGGGCACUGGAGAAAAGAAGGGUCCAAAUCGUAACAGAGUUUUCAUUAGCAACAUCCCAUAUGACAUGAAAUGGCAAGCUAUUAAAGAUCUAAUGAGAGAGAAAGGAUCCUGAUGGAGAAAAUGCUCGUAGGGCAUUGCAGCGAACAGGAGGAUCAUUUCCAGGAGGACAUGUCCCUGAUAUGGGAUCAGGGUUGAUGAAUUUACCACCUUCCAUUCUCAAUAAUCCAAACAUUCCUCCUGAAGUCAUCAGUAAUUUGCAGGCCGGUAGACUUGGUUCCACAAUUUUUGUUGCCAAUGUAAGUUCAAACUUUAG
rnacentral:sRNA from 1 species